UGGCUGCAUCACUUUUGGAAGGUGUGGGACUGACUCUGCUCCUCACUCUGGUUGAAGUGUAACCGUGAAGCGUGCGUUCAAAAACAUUUAUCCAGUAAAUUUGGUACUGAUUUUGUUUUGGCUAAAGCAUGUGUCUAUGUCGCUACGUUUCUACGGAUUAAUGCAUACGCAAAAUAUUGAUACAUUCAACACAACAUGAAAAUGGAUUUUAUCUUCGUUUCAAUACUUUUUAUAUUUAUCGACGCGAUUUACGCAGUGUCCCGCUAUGGAAAUCUCCAACCAUACAUGCCCAAUGUGUGUGCAGAGCAGGAAGUGAUGUUGGUUGCCCAAAGGCAGCCGUGUGUGCAGGCCUUCACACGCAUGGUCAAGGUCUGGAAUCAAGGCUGCCUAGGACAGAACUGGUGCAUGGGAUACGAGAGAAGGACAGCGUAUUACACAGCAUACAGACAAGUCUACAGACAAGACUACCAGACCGUUUACAAGUGCUGUCCUGGAUGGUCUCAACUCAAUAGAGAGGCUGGCUGCU